UACGUAGGGGGCAAGCGUUGUCCGGAUUUAUUGGGCGUAAAGAGCGUGUAGGCGGUUCGGUAGGUCCGUUGUGAAAACUCGAGGCUCAACCUCGAGACGCCGAUGGAAACCAUCGAACUAGAGUCCGGAAGAGGAGAGUGGAAUUCCGUGGUGUAGCGGUGAAAUGCGCAGAUAUCAGGAAGAACACCCGUGGCGAAGGCGGCUCUCUGGGACGGUACUGACGCUGAGACGCGAAAGCGUGGGGGAGCGAACAGG
rnacentral:rRNA from 1 species